rnacentral:rRNA from 1 species
GAUUGUUGGGCGUAAAGAGCUCGUAGGCGGUUUGUCGCGUCUGCUGUGAAAUCCGGAGGCUCAACCUCCGGCCUGCAGUGGGUACGGGCAGACUAGAGUGCGGUAGGGGAGAUUGGAAUUCCUGGUGUAGCGGUGGAAUGCGCAGAUAUCAGGAGGAACACCGAUGGCGAAGGCAGAUCUCUGGGCCGUAACUGACGCUGAGGAGCGAAAGGGUGGGGAGCAAACAGGCUUAGAUACCCUGGUAGUCCACCCCGUAAACGUUGGGAACUAGUUGUGGGGUCCAUUCCACGGAUUCCGUGACGCAGCUAACGCAUUAAGUUCCCCGCCUGGGGAGUACGGCCGCAAGGCUAAAACUCAAAGGAAUUGACGGGGACCCGCACAAGCGGCGGAGCAUGCGGAUUAAUUCGAUGCAACGCGAAGAACCUUACCAAGGCUUGACAUAUACGAGAACGGGCCAGAAAUGGUCAACUCUUUGGACACUCGUAAACAGGUGGUGCAUGGUUGUCGUCAGCUCGUGUCGUGAGAUGUUGGGUUAAGUCCCGCAACGAGCGCAACCCUCGUUCUAUGUUGCCAGCACGUAAUGGUGGGAACUCAUGGGAUACUGCCGGGGUCAACUCGGAGGAAGGUGGGGAUGACGUCAAAUCAUCAUGCCCCUUAUGUCUUGGGCUUCACGCAUGCUACAAUGGCCGGUACAAAGGGCUGCAAUACCGCGAGGUGGAGCGAAUCCCAAAAAGCCGGUCCCAGUUCGGAUUGAGGUCUGCAACUCGACCUCAUGAAGUCGGAGUCGCUAGUAAUCGCAGAUCAGCAACGCUGCGGUGAAUACGUUCCCGGGUCUUGUACACACCGCCCGUCAAGUCAUGAAAGUCGGUAACACCUGAAGCCGGUGGCCUAACCCUUUUGGAGGAGCCGUCGAAGUGGGAUCG